GAUCCUGGCUCAGGAUGAACGCUAGCGGCAGGCUAACACAUGCAAGUCGAGGGGCAGCGGGAUGUAGCAAUACAUUGCCGGCGACCGGCGGAUGGGUGCGUAACGCGUAUGCAACCUACCUUAUACAGGGGAAUAACCUUUCGAAAGGGAGACUAACACCCCAUGGUAUUGAUUUAAGGCAUCUUAGAUUAAUUAAAUAUUUAUAGGUAUAAGAUGGGCAUGCGUAUGAUUAGCUAGUUGGUAAGGUAACGGCUUACCAAGGCGACGAUCAUUAGGGGUUCUGAGAGGAAGGUCCCCCACACUGGUACUGAGACACGGACCAGACUCCUACGGGAGGCAGCAGUGAGGAAUAUUGGUCAAUGGGCGCAAGCCUGAACCAGCCAUGCCGCGUGCAGGAAGACGGCCUUAUGGGUUGUAAACUGCUUUACAUAAGACUAACCGUAUAUUUGCGAAUAUACCUGAAUGUAUUAUGAGAAUAAGGAUCGGCUAACUCCGUGCCAGCCGCCGC
rnacentral:rRNA from 1 species